rnacentral:rRNA from 1 species
CCUCUGGUGUGCCAGUUGUCCCGCCAGGGGCACGGCUGGUUAGCUACGUUCGGAAGAGAUAACCGCUGAAAGCAUCUAAGCGGGAAACUCGCUUCAAGAUAAGGUCUCCGACACCUUCGGGUGUGAAGGCCCCCAGCUAGACGACUGGGUUGAUAGGCCAGAAAUGUAAGCACAGCAAUGUGUUCAGUUGACUGGUACUAACAGGCCGACCACUUAACAC